GGAAUAAAAAGAAGUCAUUCGGUGCCAAGUCAGGACUAUACGGCGGAUGACUCAUCAAAUCGAUGUUUUGGAUGCCCAAAAAUGCAGUUGUUUGAGCCGAUGUGUGAGAGCUC